rnacentral:rRNA from 1 species
GCUUGUUGGUGAGGUAAUGGCCCACCAAGGCUUCAACGGGUAGCCGGCCUGAGAGGAUGAUCAGCCACUCUGGGACUGAGACACGGCCCAGACUCCUACAGGAGGCAGCAAUGGGGAAUAUUGGACAAUGGGCGAAAGCCUGAUCCAGCCAUGCCGCGUGAGUGAUGAAGGCCCUAGGGUUGUAAAGCUCUUUCAACGGUGAAGAUAAUGACGGUAACCGUAGAAGAAGCCCCGGCUAACUUCGUGCCAGCAGCCGCGGUAAUACGAAGGGGGCUAGCGUUGUUCGGAAUUACUGGGCGUAAAGCGCACGUAGGCGGACUAUUAAGUCAGGGGUGAAAUCCCGGGGCUCAACCCCGGAACUGCCUUUGAUACUGGUAGUCUCGAGUCCGGAAGAGGUGAGUGGAAUUCCGAGUGUAGAGGUGAAAUUCGUAGAUGUUCGGAGGAACACCAGUGGCGAAGGCGGCUCACUGGUCCGGUACUGACGCUGAGGUGCGAAAGCGUGGGGAGCAAACAGGAUUAGAUACCCCGGUAGUCCUGGACC